rnacentral:rRNA from 1 species
AUACGGAGGAUCCGAGCGUUAUCCGGAUUUAUUGGGUUUAAAGGGUGCGCAGGCGGCCAUUUAAGUCAGCGGUUAAAUCGUGGGGCUCAACCCCAUUCUGCCGUUGAUACUGGGUGGCUUGAUUGCGGUCGAGGUUGGCGGAAUUCGUUGUGUAGCGGUGAAAUGCAUAGAUAUGACGAAGAACACCGAUUGCGUAGGCUGCUGACCAGACCGCAAAUGUCCCUCAUGCACGUAAGUGCGGGGAUCGAACAGGAUUAGAUUCCCUGGUAGUCCGCACAGUAAACGAUGAAUACUUGUUUUCGGCGAUAUAAUGUCGGAGGCAAAGCGAAAGCGAUAAGUAUUCCACCUGGGGAGUACGCCGGCAACGGUGAAACUCAAAUGAAUUGACGGGG